rnacentral:lncRNA from 1 species
UUUUUUCUUUCUGAUUCUUCCAGAAGAGGACUAAAUUGGUUGGUGGAUGAUAGUUGUCCUUUGUAUGGAGGCUGGAUGUAGAAGGUGCUGCAAGCUCUGCAAGCUGAUUAGUUAAUGUGGAAGCUGAAACCUGCCUUGGGAAGCUGACCAUUGACCAUUGUCUUGCUUUUACCUGGGUUGCUUCCUUGUUUCUCUUUAGGUUUUUAAGAAAGGAUAAAGGCUGAACAGAUCUCUGCAGUUACAAUUAUUCAUACUAGAAGAUACUGCUAACCUCUUUGUUAUUUGAGCAGCUGGAUGAGAUUCCUGAUUUCCAUAAUCUGUACCUGGAGGUUUAUACAGGAGAGGAUCACUGGGGCAGACUUGAACCAUGGUGCCCACAAGUGGGGAGGGUGCUCCAGCGGCCAUGGAAAGAACUUCCUUCUGCAGUUGGAGACAGCCUUCUGUGUGGGCUGAAGGACAGAGUGUGAUUUUCUACUUGGAAGAGACUCCAGGGCUCUGCAGAGAGGGAAGCCCUGCUGACCCAUUUCAGCAGACUGUGACACUUCAGCGACCUGCAAAUUCUACACAUUAGAGUUCAUAUUUUAUACAAACUCCGUACACCUAAGAUGUGGACUUAACAUUUCUACCAACAACAUCCAACUUCCAACAAAAGAUGCAGGCCCAUCAGAAGAUGAAAGCUACUAAUGAAGAUGCAUUAAAGAUGAUAUUUAUGGCCACCCCUUAGGGAAAAAAAGAUUCAUAAAUAAUUUCAUGGAAAUUACACCCAAAA